AAGUCGUAACAAGGUCUCCGUUGGUGAACCAGCGGAGGGAUCAUUACCGAGUUUACAACUCCCAAACCCCUGUGAACAUACCAUUUGUUGCCUCGGCGGUGCCUGCUUCGGCAGCCCGCCAGAGGACCCAAACCCUUGAUUUUAUACAGUAUCUUCUGAGUAAAUGAUUAAAUAAAUCAAAACUUUCAACAACGGAUCUCUUGGUUCUGGCAUCGAUGAAGAACGCAGCGAAAUGCGAUAAGUAAUGUGAAUUGCAGAAUUCAGUGAAUCAUCGAAUCUUUGAACGCACAUUGCGCCCGCCAGUAUUCUGGCGGGCAUGCCUGUUCGAGCGUCAUUUCAACCCUCAAGCCCCCGGGCUUGGUGUUGGAGAUCGGCGUGCCCCCCGGGGCGCGCCGCCUCCCAAAUAUAGUGGCGGUCUCGCUGUAGCUUCCUCUGCGUAGUAGCACACCUCGCACUGGAAAACAGCGUGGCCACGCCGUUAAACCCCCCACUUCUGAAAGGUUGACCUCGGAUCAGGUAGGAAUACCCGCUGAACUUAAGCAUAUCAAUAAGCGGAGGAAAAGAAACCAACAGGGAUUGCCCUAGUAACGGCGAGUGAAGCGGCAACAGCUCAAAUUUGAAAUCUGGCCCUCGGGUCCGAAUUGUAAUUUGUAGAGGAUGCUUUUGGUGAGGUACCUUCCGAGUUCCCUGGAACGGGACGCCAUAGAGGGUGAGAGCCCCGUCUGGUCGGAUACCGAUCCUCUGUAAAGCUCCUUCGACGAGUCGAGUAGUUUGGGAAUGCUGCUCUAAAUGGGAGGUAUAUGUCUUCUAAAGCUAAAUAUUGGCCAGAGACCGAUAGCGCACAAGUAGAGUGAUCGAAAGAUGAAAAGCACUUUGAAAAGAGAGUUAAAAAGUACGUGAAAUUGUUGAAAGGGAAGCGCUCAUGACCAGACUUGGGCUUGGUUGAUCAUCCAGGGUUCUCCCUGGUGCACUCUUCCAGCCCAGGCCAGCAUCAGUUCGCUGUGGGGGAUAAAGGCUUUGGGAAUGUGGCUCCUCCGGGAGUGUUAUAGCCCAUUGUGUAAUACCCUGUGGUGGACUGAGGUUCGCGCAUCUGCAAGGAUGCUGGCGUAAUGGUCAUCAGCGACC
rnacentral:rRNA from 1 species